GAUGAACGCUGGCGGCGUGCCUAAUACAUGCAAGUCGAGCGAACAGAUGAGAAGCUUGCUUCUCUGAUGUUAGCGGCGGACGGGUGAGUAACACGUGGGUAACCUACCUAUAAGACUGGGAUAACUCCGGGAAACCGGGGCUAAUACCGGAUAAUAUUUUGAACCGCAUGGUUCAACAGUGAAAGACGGUUUCGGCUGUCACUUAUAGAUGGACCCGCGCCGUAUUAGCUAGUUGGUAAGGUAACGGCUUACCAAGGCGACGAUACGUAGCCGACCCGAGAGGGUGAUCGGCCACACUGGAACUGAGACACGGUCCAGACUCCUACGGGAGGCAGCAGGAGGGAAUCUUCCGCAAUGGGCGAAAGCCUGACGGAGCAACGCCGCGUGAGUGAUGAAGGUCUUCGGAUCGUAAAACUCUGUUGUUAGGGAAGAACAAAUUUGUUAGUAACUGAACAAGUCUUGACGGUACCUAACCAGAAAGCCACGGCUAACUACGUGCCAGCCGCCGCCGUAA
rnacentral:rRNA from 1 species